UACAGAGGGGGCAAGCGUUGUUCGGAAUUACUGGGCGUAAAGGGCGCGUAGGCGGCCAUCUAAGUCAGACGUGAAAUCCCCCGGCUUAACCUGGGAACUGCGUCUGAUACUGGAAGGCUUGAGUAUGGGAGAGGGAUGUAGAAUUCCAGGUGUAGCGGUGAAGUGCGUAGAUAUCUGGAGGAAUACCGGUGGCGAAGGCGGCAUCCUGGACCAUUACUGACGCUGAGGCGCGAAAGCUAGGGGAGCAAACGGG
rnacentral:rRNA from 1 species